GAGAGAGAGAGAGAGAGAGACGCGGACAGAGAGAGAGACGCGGACAGAGCGACGCAGACCCCCGCAGCUUGACAAAAGGGUGUGUUGGGUGCGCGCGCGCGUGAGCUGCAGCUGGAAGGGGCGCGCUCUUCCUCUGUGUGGGGUUCGGUGUUUGUGGGGGUUCGUGCGGCUGGCAGGGAGGCUU